UUGAAUUGAAUUAUGCUUUUCUAAAUGACACCUACUUUUUUUCCCCUUUCAGACUAACAUUGCUAAUCAUGUGUCAAAUUGAAUGAAUUUUAGAAAUGCAACAACUCUUCUGGUGUGUGGUGAUCAAUGUGGUCUUACCUGAAAGUUUGGGUAAGAUGGAAAAAUAUAAUGCCAAAUAUUUUCUACAUUUUAGAGGAGAAAAAGAACAGCAGAGACUCCAACAAGGCACUGAGACAAAAAGUAUGAGCAAAGGCAAAACGACCAGAAAGUUCUUGAGUAUUGGUGAACUACAAUGAAGGAGGGAUGGAGAAGAAGACACAAUCACAGACAGGGUGUGCUAUGGGCCAGAUUUCUUUAGGCCCCUCUCUACAAGAUCUGAAUUGGAGAAUAAGUUCUGGGUCUGCCACUUGAUUGCUCAGUGACCUCGGAUGUUGGUGCUGCCUUCUCCAGAGGGCAUUAUAGAGUCUUUAUCUAGAUUGAGGUCUCAAUCUUCAAUUGAGGUUUGUAUC
rnacentral:lncRNA from 1 species